CUGCGGAGGAUCAUUACCGA
rnacentral:rRNA from 1 species